GCCGAAGUGGUGGAAUGGCAUACACGCCGGUCUCAAAAACCGGUAACCUCACGGUUGUGUGGGUUCGACUCCCACCUUCGGCACCA
rnacentral:tRNA from 1 species